GUUGAAGCACCUGUUCCUGUAGAAUCACUGAAGUUAAGCAAUGUUGAGCAUCAUCAGUACCUAGAUGGGUGACCACUUGGGAAUACAAGAUGCUGUAAU